GGGGAGGCAGCAGUGGGGAAUUUUGGACAAUGGGGGCAACCCUGAUCCAGCAAUGCCGCGUGAGUGAAGAAGGCCUUCGGGUUGUAAAGCUCUUUUGUCAGGGAAGAAACAGCAGCUCUAACACAGUCUGCGAAUGACGGUACCUGAAGAAUAAGCACCGGCUAACUAUGUGCCAGCAGCCGCGG
rnacentral:rRNA from 1 species